rnacentral:lncRNA from 1 species
UGGGGUCCUCUCACCCUGUAUACUUAUCUCAAGGGCUUCUUUGUGCUCCCCCAUCUCAAAAUCCAUACUAACUCCAAUAUUUCCUCCUUUUCUAUUAGUAGGCUCUACAUGAACUAAUAGGCCUUCAGACAAGGGUGGGAUCACUAUCAAAGGUGUACAGGUCCUUUGUGUAAGGAUCGAGUUUUCCAGAUCCUUGAUCAUACAUGUAUGGACCACACCCGCCAC